rnacentral:rRNA from 1 species
CCUACGGGUGGCAGCAGUGAGGAAUAUUGGUCAAUGGGCGCGAGCCUGAACCAGCCAAGUAGCGUGAAGGAUGACUGCCCUACGGGUUGUAAACUUCUUUUAUAAAGGAAUAAAGUGAGGCACGUGUGCCUUUUUGUAUGUACUUUAUGAAUAAGGAUCGUCUAACUCCGUGCCAGCAGCCGCGGUAAUACGGAGGAUCCGAGCGUUAUCCGGAUUUAUUUGGUUUAAAGGGGGCGUAGAUUGGUUGUUAAGUUAGUUGUGAAAGGUUGCGGCUCAACCGUAAAAUUGCAAUUGAUACUGGCAGUCUUGAGUACAGUUGAGGUAGGCGGAAUUCGUGGGGUAGCGGUGAAAUGCUUAGAUAUCACGAAGAACUCCGAUUGCGAAGGCAGCUUACUAAACUGCCACUGACAUUGAUGCACGAAAGUGUGGGUAUCAAACAGGAUUAGAUACCCUGGUAGUC